UCAGCUCAGUCGAGUCUCAGCGACCAUCGCACGCGCAGUGUUAACUGUUCGAAACGAGGCGUCCGCGCGCCGACACCAUAAUGAACGUAACCAUGGACACUGACAUUAUAAUGACUUCCGAAGGAAUGGAUGGCGUAUUACGAGCGAAAAUAAUAACCAUGGUGACGCUAUUCUGUGUAUCCAUGCUGUUUGGAUGCUUGCCGAUGCUUAUUUCACUAAAAUUCGACUGGUUUACGAAAAGCACCGGUUCGGAUGUGCGGACUUCCAAUCAGUUUGUGAUGGGGCUGCUGGCGUUUGGUGGAGGUGUCCUGUUUGCCACCACUUUUAUGCACUUGCUGCCGGAGGUGGAUUUAAACAUACAGCUGCUUCAAGAGGCCGGUGAACUCGCAGACAUACCGCUAUACCUUGCCGCCCUCAUAAUGUGCGCCGGCUUCUUCAUGAUGUAUUUAAUCGAAGAGUUGGUACACGUUUACAUCAACAGCAGAGAGAAUAAGACUGCCAAAACUAGCUUUACUAGAGUCCUUAGUAUUAGAAAAACAAGUGCACCUGAAGCGCCGGAACCUUUAAAGGAGGUUAACGUUCCGAAGAGUCAUGGGCAUGGCCAUAGUCACCAACCUUUCGUGUCUGGAGACGAUCCUGUGACGCAGACGCUGAGGGGGCUCUUGAUUGUUUUGGCGUUGUCCAUCCAUGAGCUCUUUGAAGGGUUGGCUGUUGGAUUGGAGGCUUCUGCAGCGAAUGUGUGGUACAUGUUCGGCGCGGUCUCAGCCCACAAGUACAUCAUCGCCUUCUGCAUCGGCGUGGAGCUCAUAGCGGCCGGCACCAAGCGUUGGCUGUCUUUGGUCUACAUCUUCACGUUCUCCUUCGUGUCUGCACUGGGUAUCGGCGUUGGGAUCCUGCUGGUCGGUGGUGCUGGCGCGGCUGAGGCCGGACUCUACUCGGUUAUAUUGCAGGGUCUAGCCUGUGGCACGCUGAUGUACGUGGUGUUCUUCGAAGUGUGGCGGCAGGACCGCUCGGGAAUACUCCAGUUCGUCUGCUCCGUGCUGGGCUUCGUCGUCAUGGUGUCGCUGGAGCUGGUCGUGGAACUCUUCGUCGUUCCAGAUUAGCAGAAGAAUUGAAAUAGGUACCUAUUACCACGAAAGGACCCCGCAGCAAAUAUAUGGUGGUUUUAUGGUUGGAAAAGUGGUUUCAGUCAAAUCUAACGAAAUUUUUGUAUGAUUUAGGUUUAAGUCACCCGAUUAUUAUUUUUAAAAAACCGCCCAAGUGCGAGUCGGACUCGCGUUCCAAGGGUUCCGUACAUAACACAAUUUAGACAAUGUAUUUUCUAUUUGAAACUUGAGUGAAAUGUCUAAAAAACCCGUAGGGGUCGGAUCAAAAACUAAGUAAUUAAGUCCGACUCACGCUUGACUGCAAUUUCUAAUAGGUUUUCCUGUAAUCUAUAGGUAAAGAUCUAUUUUGUGUAUUUUUUUCAAAAUUUUAGACCCAGUAGUUUCGGAGAUAAAGGGUAAUGAUAAUGGUAAUUUUUUGCCUAUUUUCUUGAAUAACUUCUAAAUUGUUUAUCCUAAAAUUAUAAAAAUAUAUAUAUUUGAGAUUCUCACAAUGAGCUCUUUCAUUUGAUAUAUAACACGAUAUGGUUUGAAAAACUUUAUUUUUUAAUUUUCUCAUUUACCCCCCAAAAUGUUUAAAUUCAUUUGUUUAUGUUACAUGUCCGUCUUUGGGUCACAAACUUACAUAUAUUAUGUAUACCAAAUUUCAACUUAAUUGGUCCAGUAGUUUCGGAGAAAAUAGGCUCUGACAGACGGACAGACAGACACACGCACGAAUGAUCCUGUAAGAGUUCCGUUUUUUCCUUUUGAGGUACGGAACCCUAAAAAGCCACAAAUCUAUCAGAAGUAUACUUUCCCUAACAAUCAAUUAGUUGUUUCGUACAAAAUAUAAUGUUACAUGCCUAUUUUUCGUAUCCUCUUUGCUCUGUUAUGCAAGUUAUGUAGUAUUAUAUCCACCACGGCUAACUAUAAUUCAUCCGGAUAGUCUCACCAAACCAAGAUCCGACCCCAAAUAAUGGGAUCAGGAGAGGAAGAAGAAGAGAGUCUCACUAUUUGAUUGGGAUGAAUCAAUAAUACAAGAAAUGGACAUAACUGAAUAGUUGGUAUUGGUAACAGCAUUAUAAUUACGACUUCAUAACGCCAGUAACUGUUAUUGUUAUUACAGACAAUUCAAUGUAUCGAUUUUAGGAAACACCUCAUAGAAAUAGAAAAAUGUAAACUUGAUUAUUUCUGAAAGUAUACUUCUGAGAUAUUUGUGCCCCUAUAAACAAAUUGUCAGGAGACUUAAUUCAGCUUUAUGUAUAAAAUGAAUUCAAACUCAGGUUAGAUAUCAAAAUCUAUUUAGGUUCAGACACGUCGGACAAAAUGCCAGAAAUAGGUAUAGGUACAUUACCUUGAUAUAUGGGCAAUAAGGUCGUCAAUACAUAUUUUUGUCCAUAUCGAUAUUUUUAGACGUGACUGUACCUUGGAAUAGGUCAACUGUUUUUGCUGUGCGCGUCUUUUCCGUUGGGGUAGGUCGAUCUAGGCAGGUAAGUAAUAUUAUGUUAUGUAUAAUGUGAAUAUUAUUAAUUAUAAACCUAAUUAACAAUAGUAAGAUUAUUAUUGAAAUAAAUGUAAUUAAUAAAAAUAAUUCCUGUUGACAAAUAAAUUGGAUAUUGAGACUUCUUAGGGUAGGUCGUGUUACUCGUAUCGUACCUAUA